GAUUUUCUCCCGUUCUUCGAUGCAGCAUCCGAGCAGCCUGACCAGAUUCUUGUGCUGAAGCUUUGCAACCAAGACUACCUCAUUCUUCAUCUCCAAUUGCCCUUGAUGGGAAUGUACCCUGAACUCAACAGCAUCAGAAUCGACUGGGCCAAAUCCACCUUCUCCGAGCUUAUUUUCUUCUGA
rnacentral:lncRNA from 1 species